rnacentral:lncRNA from 1 species
GCUAGGCCUAGGAAGAAGCCAGCUACCCGUGGUUAUAUGGAGGAGCGUAUGGGGUGGAGAGCGCCAUGUUUCGCUGAGGAGCGCACUAUCUCACCCAUACGCACGCACAGUCCGGUGCGCGUUAUUCCAGCCCCUCGCAGGUGCCGUGCUAGAGCGGGCAUCCAGCCUGGUAGGAGGAUGCCUGCGCAGCGCAUCUGGUCGCCGGUACGCCUCCGAGGACCAGGCUACCCAACUCCCGCUCUACGCACGGCUACCAUCAGGCCCCUGCACAGCCCAGUCUGGCCUGUACGAGCACCCCGCUCGUACAGGGCUACUAGUUCCAUCCAGCCAAGGCGGGUUGUGCAGGAGGUAAGAUCAAGACCGACUGUGCGCCUCCAUAGCCCUGGGUUUCCAGCUCCUGUCUCUCGUGCGAACCCGGAAGUGCGUCAACCCAGUCCGACUCGUCCUGUUCCCGCUCCCCGCACUAGCCUGGAGGUGCGUGUUCACAAUCUGGUAAGCCCAGUACCAGCACCACGCACCAGGCUUCAAGUGCGUAAACCCAGCCUCGCCAGUCAACAGUCACCAGAGCUGCCCGCCAGUCAACAGUCACCAGAGCUGCCCGCCAGUCAACAGUCACCAGAGCUGCCCGCCAGUCAACAGUCGUCAGAGCUGCCCGCCAGUCAACAGUCGUCAGAGCUGCCCGCCAGUCAACAGUCGUCAGAGCUGCCCGCCAGUCAACAGUCGCCGGAGCUGCCCGCCAAUCAACAGUCGUCGGAGCUGCCCGCCAGUCAACAGUCGUCAGAGCUUCCCGCCAGUCAACAGUCGUCGGAGCUGCCCGCCUAUCAACAGUCGUCGGAGCUGUGGCCAGACUGCGCUGAACUGCCGGAGUGGCCAGACUGCGCUGAACUGCCGGAGUGGCCAGACUGUGCUGAACUGCCGGAGUGGCCAGACUGCGCUGAACUGCCGGAGUGGCCAGACUGCGCUGAACUGCCGGAGUGGCCAGACUGCCCUGAACUGCCGGAGUGGCCAGACUGCCCUGAACUGCCGGAGUGGCCAGACUGCCCCGAACUGCCGGAGUGGCCAGACUGCCCCGAACUGCCGGAGUGGCCAGACUGUC